rnacentral:rRNA from 1 species
GACGAAGGGGGCUAGCGUUGUUCGGAAUUACUGGGCGUAAAGCGCGUGUAGGCGGUUGCCCAAGUCGGGUGUGAAAGCCUCGAGCUCAACUCAAGAAAUGCACUCGGUACUGGGUGACUAGAGGACCGGAGAGGAUAGUGGAAUUCCCAGUGUAGUGGUGAAAUACGUAGAGAUUGGGAAGAACACCAGUGGCGAAGGCGGCUAUCUGGACGGUUUCUGACGCUAAGACGCGAAAGCGUGGGGAGCAAACAGG